rnacentral:rRNA from 1 species
GUGGGGAAUAUUGGACAAUGGGCGAAAGCCUGAUCCAGCCAUGCCGCGUGUGUGAAGAAGGUCUUCGGAUUGUAAAGCACUUUAAGUUGGGAGGAAGGGCAGUAAGUUAAUACCUUGCUGUUUUGACAUUACCGACAGAAUAAGCACCGGCUAACUUCGUGCCAGCAGCCGCGGUAAUACGUAGGGUGCAAGCGUUAAUCGGAAUUACUGGGCGUAAAGCGCGCGUAGGUGGUUUUGUAAGUUGGAGGUGAAAUCCCCGGGCUCAACCUGGGAACUGCAUCCAAAACUGCAUGACUAGAGUACGGUAGAGGGUAGUGGAAUUUCCUGUGUAGCGGUGAAAUGCGUAGAUAUAGGAAGGAACACCAGUGGCGAAGGCGACUACCUGGACUGAUACUGACACUGAGGUGCGAAAGCGUGGGGAGCAAACAGGAUUAGAAACCCCAGUAGUCC